GUUCAGGGUUCGUUAACUUACACACAGUGUGACGUCUCUCUCUAAAUAAGCACGAGGGCAAAAAUACAGGGUUGCUAUAGAUCCGGAAAAGGUUCGGUCUGAGUGGUUCAACACCUCUUUUUCCAGACGAUGAACAGAGCAAGAGAGAGCUGUUGCUGCUUCAAUACAGCCUGAAAAUGAUGGGGCAGCAACAACAUAAAAACAGCCUGUUUGGU